GUCUCCGUAGUUCAAUGGAUAGAAUAUUGGAUUCCGGUUCCAACGAUUGGGGUUCGACUCCCCACGGGGAUACAA
rnacentral:tRNA from 6 species